UCUUUUCAAUCACCUUUUCAUGGAGUUUCUUGGAGUGUUAUUUUCAUCUUCAUUGUGUAGGCUAAGGCACAAUACUGAUUUGCCACAAGCUGAACCUUCUAGAUAAGGUGCAUUUGUCCUACAAUCAAUGGAAACACUUUAACUACAGACGGAUGUGAUCUCCAUUGUACCAAUUAUGUGACUUCUAAAACCAAUUGUCUUACGCAAUCAGUUAUUUUGUUUGCAGUAUUAGCAGGUUUUUCAACUUAGUCUGGGUCAUACAGUAAGUCUAUGUGGCUCAUACAAUAGCAACAUUUAUUCAUAUAGCAUGUUUUCAUACAAAUGAUGUAUCUCAAAGUGCUUUACAAGAUGAAGAAAGAAAAAUAU